UACGUAGGGUGCGAGCGUUAAUCGGAAUUACUGGGCGUAAAGCGUGCGCAGGCGGUUUUGUAAGCCAGAUGUGAAAUCCCCGGGCUUAACCUGGGAAUGGCAUUUGGGACUGCAAGGCUUGAGUUUGGCAGAGGAGACUGGAAUUCCUGGUGUAGCAGUGAAAUGCGUAGAUAUCAGGAGGAAUACCGAUGGCGAAGGCAGGUCUCUGGGCUAGAACUGACGCUCAUG
rnacentral:rRNA from 1 species